rnacentral:lncRNA from 1 species
GCACGGCAGGAGGGCCGUCCGGGGAAAGUUGUUUCCUGUCCCACUGACUUUGACGGCUCUAGGUCUGCCACAACUCCGGCAAAGUCCCAGGACCCUGAGCAGCCUCGGGAAGAGCUCUCGGGACCUCGGGGGAGUGAGGUGGCCCAGGCCUGGCACAGCUCAGUGGUGGCACGUCACAUCACACAUCUUCAGACCAGGCCUUCUGCAACGAUUCUCUGGCCUCUCUGCUGCUCUGCCUAGCUCCAGCCUUGUCCUGCGGAAGGUGCUGAAGCGGCCCUCAGUCUGCCUCUGGCCUCCCUCUGUUUCCCCCUCCACAACUGGGCAGGCUGCUCCCUUCACCCCAACACUCCAUGGCUCCCCAUGGCCUGCAAAUCAGAUCACAGCCCCUAAGCCUGGACUGCAGUGCUCCACUUGGCCUCGCCCACCUCUCAGCCCAUUUUCAACGUGACACACGCAGUUCCUUGGCAGGUCCUCUCAUGAGUAAACGGCCCUAGAAGACGUUUCUCCCAGGAAGAUGCACAGACGGCCAAGGCAGGCAGACGGCGGCAAUCAGCAGCUUCCACGUCCACCAGGGUGGCCUUGGGAAGACCAGCGCCCCCACGUGGGGCUGGGAGAGGCCGCACUGCACCCCAAGAAGCCAGGUCUCAGGAACAGGCACUGCACAGCUGGGAGCAGCAGGGACAGGAGAGGAGGGAGUCUGCUCAGAGACGUCUUCUUCAGAAACCACAUUCCCCAAGCCCUUCGCCAAAAUCAUCAAAACAUCCCACGAUCAGCUCUGCUUGACCGGGGAGAAGAGGAACAGGAAAUAUGUCAGGGGUGAGAUUUUAAAAUGUGUGUGAAUAUAAACAUUCAGCUCUGUAACAUAAUUAACAGCGCCCCAAGGAAAAUCCCGCGUAUGUCAGUAGGAAGCGUUCUUGAUGCGGAGCGAAGGCUACUUGGCGGUGUUCCGGCUCUCUGACUCUGAAGGGCCUGCCCGUGUUCCUUCCUGAGGCUCAGACAAGCCCAUCUCAGCUUUGCUGUCUAGGAAUUUAUAAGUGUAAGAGAGCAAAGAUUCAGUUCCCCAAAAGAUACCCUCUUGGUGGCCUGUGGUCCACGGGAGACCUCAUGCACCAGGGAUCCCCGUGCUGGGCCGGCCAGUGCUCAAGAGCACGGACCCUGAGGCUCCUUAAAGGGGCUGGAAGGGUCAGUGUGAUACCGUGCACCCACACUUACUCACCGAGGAGCUCUCGG